rnacentral:rRNA from 1 species
GGAUGCGAUCAUACCAGCACUAAAGCACCGGAUCCCAUCAGAACUCCGAAGUUAAGCGUGCUUGGGCGAGAGUAGCACUAGGAUGGGUGUCCUCCUGGGUUGUCCUCAUGUUGCAUCCC